GGGAUGCCUAAUACAUGCAGUCGAGCGGACAGAAGGGAGCUUGCUCCCGGAUGUUAGCGGCGGACGGGUGAGUAACACGUGGGUAACCUGCCUGUAAGACUGGGAUAACUCCGGGAAACCGGAGCUAAUACCGGAUAGUUCCUUGAACCGCAUGGUUCAAGGAUGAAAGACGGUUUCGGCUGUCACUUACAGAUGGACCCGCGGCGCAUUAGCUAGUUGGUGAGGUAACGGCUCACCAAGGCGACGAUGCGUAGCCGACCUGAGAGGGUGAUCGGCCACACUGGGACUGAGACACGGCCCAGACUCCUACGGGAGGCAGCAGUAGGGAAUCUUCCGCAAUGGACGAAAGUCUGACGGAGCAACGCCGCGUGAGUGAUGAAGGUUUUCGGAUCGUAAAGCUCUGUUGUUAGGGAAGAACAAGUGCAAGAGUAACUGCUUGCACCUUGACGGUACCUAACCAGAAAGCCACGGCUAACUACGUGCCAGCAGCCGCGGUAAUACGUAGGUGGCAAGCGUUGUCCGGAAUUAUUGGGCGUAAAGGGCUCGCAGGCGGUUUCUUAAGUCUGAUGUGAAAGCCCCCGGCUCAACCGGGGAGGGUCAUUGGAAACUGGGAAACUUGAGUGCAGAAGAGGAGAGUGGAAUUCCACGUGUAGCGGUGAAAUGCGUAGAGAUGUGGAGGAACACCAGUGGCGAAGGCGACUCUCUGGUCUGUAACUGACGCUGAGGAGCGAAAGCGUGGGGAGCGAACAGGAUUAG
rnacentral:rRNA from 1 species